CCUACGGGUGGCAGCAGUGGGGAAUAUUGGACAAUGGGCGAAAGCCUGAUCCAGCCAUGCCGCGUGUGUGAAGAAGGCCUUCGGGUUGUAAAGCACUUUCAGUGGGGAAGAAAGCCUUGGGGCUAAUACCCUCGAGGAAGGACAUCACCCAUAGAAGAAGCACCGGCUAACUCCGUGCCAGCAGCCGCGGUAAUACGGAGGGUGCGAGCGUUAAUCGGAAUUACUGGGCGUAAAGCGCGCGUAGGCGGUCUGAUAAGCCGGUUGUGAAAGCCCCGGGCUCAACCUGGGAACGGCAUCCGGAACUGUCAGGCUAGAGUGCAGGAGAGGAAGGUAGAAUUCCCGGUGUAGCGGUGAAAUGCGUAGAGAUCGGGAGGAAUACCAGUGGCGAAGGCGGCCUUCUGGACUGACACUGACGCUGAGGUGCGAAAGCGUGGGUAGCAAACAGGAUUAGAUACCCGAGUAGUC
rnacentral:rRNA from 1 species